rnacentral:rRNA from 1 species
UACGGAGGGUGCAAGCGUGUCCGGAUUUAUUGGGUUAAAGGGUGCGUAGGCGGUUAUUUAAGUCAGAGGUGAAAGUCUGCGGCUCAACCGUAGGAUUGCCUUUGAUACUGAAUACUUGAAUAUAGUUGAGGUAGGCGGAAUUGACAGUGUAGCGGUGAAAUGCGCGAUAUCAGGAGGAACACCAGCGGCGAAGGCGGCGCCUCUGGGCCGGUACUGACGCUGAGGAGCGAAAGCGUGGGGAGCAAACAGG